rnacentral:rRNA from 1 species
GGGCCCGCACAAGCGGUGGAGCAUGUGGUUUAAAUUCGAUGAUACGCGAGGAACCUUACCAGGGCUUAAAUGGGAAAUGACAGGGGCAGAGACGCCCCCUUCUUCGGACAUUUUUCAAGGUGCUGCAUGGUUGUCGUCAGCUCGUGCCGUGAGGUGUCAGGUUAAGUCCUAUAACGAGCGCAACCCCUACCGUUAGUUGCCAGCGAGUCAUGUCGGGGACUCUAACGGGACUGCCGGUGCAAACCGUGAGGAAGGUGGGGACGGACGUCAAAUCAUCACGGCCCUUACGUCCUGGGCCACACACGUGCUACAAUGGUAGGUACAGAGGGAAGCCACCUCGUGAGAGGGAGCGGAUCUAUAAAACCUAUCUCAGUUCGGAUCGAAGUCUGCAACUCGACUUCGUG